rnacentral:rRNA from 1 species
GGUGUGUGUGGUGACUGUGUGAGAGAGUAGAACGAGGGCCUGUUCGUCGCGGAGGCGGGAGGGGUGACGUAGCACGGCGGCCGUGUCCCUAGGAGGGAACAACGCGCGACGAAGCCGUCCCUGACGGGGAGACGGAGGGGUCAGGGGUAGCGACGACUCUGCCGGCGGGAAGAGAACGGAGAGGUGGAGGCAGCUGCCUCCGCGUCUGAAGGAGAGGUGGUCUAGGAGCCAGCACCUGAGCUGUACUCUCGACUUCCCGAGGGGAUGCGGAUGGAGGAGGAGGGCGCCCUGUUCUGCGUCUUAGCCUCGCUCGCGGCUCCUCGUGGCCGAUCCUGCGGAACGAGGCUACCCAACCCGCACAGCGCUCGGAGUGGCACCGGUUCAUGGUGUACGAGGUCUCACCUACCAGCUGCGGGAGGGGUGGACCGGUGGAGUGGGCACUGACCAAAUCGAGACUGUCUUAGUUCAGUUAGUUGAUACCCUGUCCAUGUCAUACGUCAACCCAAGAUCACAAAUCGAUGUCACGUCCAUGUAGAAGGAACGAAUCAUAUUAACACUAACAGUUUACAAGGAACUAACGAUCUAAAAACACUUUAGAAGAACACGUAUACACUUCCCUUCGUUCGAACCUAAGUGACCUACUACAUAUGUGUGGUUCACGUGGAGCGAAAGUAUUAUCGUUCGUUGGAGUAUAACUCCAUGCAAGAGAAGCGAACGUCGGAAAAAUUCUCAAACCAAAAAGGUCAAUCAGAGAAGACUACCACUACGAACUAUUCACCACAAAUAGUCGCACAACAGAGUCUUUUAGCGAAAGAGGCCACCAACUAUUAAAAUCGAGAUAUACGAACACAACGUUUGUCGUCUUCGUUGACCUGUUGGUAAACAAAGUAUUUGAGUUUGGUAACUUGAAUUUUUGUAGUGGAAGGCGUCGACCACACAUAGCGUCAACUCACUUUCGUCUAACGGGUCACCCGAAGAGGCGUCACACUUUUAGACAGUCUUUCUUAACUAGUAUCUAUACUAAUAUGAACACUGACGAUGUAGUAUUUCUUGUCUUUUUACCUGUUUGGUCCACUAUACCGGUGCCCACAGAAUCUACCUCACGCGAAAGUUAAAUCUUUCCUCUACAUCGAAACAAUAAUAGGGAACGGAGCACAGAAGGAAAAUUAUAGAGUAGGGACAAAUCACGUAUGGAGAGGAAAGGGAAACAAAGAAAUUAAGAAAACCUAGACGAAAAACUGGACAGAGGUUCUUUUAGAAGUCCGAGAUAUUCCAGGUUCAUCCAUUCUCAACCACUAUAUAAAUAAAUGGGACCCAUUUAUCGUUUAGUUCAUUUAUUCUUUCAGAACAUGUAGAGUAAAACCUUUAAAGUCUUUACUAGUUCUCCACUUCAGGUGAAACUAAAAAUGGAACACGUCUGAAUCCAAACAACAUCCAGGAACAUCAGUAUCAAAAGAAAUUUUUUUUAGUAUGUAGUAGCUUGGUACGACUUGAGUGUACAUGUCUCAUACAACAGUAGUAGAAUGUAUCGUAGAAGAUAUUUAGCAUGUGUUUUAAAGCCUUAGACUUGAUGUGUUGAAACUUUGUUUGAUUUUUCAAUAGUCGUAGACGUGAUUUGUAACCAUUCAAUCGAAAUCCUCUUUGUAUGAGUUUCUUAUAGACUCAACCGGUAAUAAGUAGAACUGUCAUUCCGUGCUAUCAGUAAUUUAAGCAUAAUGCUAAGAAGUACGGUUGUGAUGUUGGAUGUUGUCAUUUAGUAUAUAUAUUGAUACAGGCUUUGAACUGUAGUAUGUUACACCUUCUUCCUUAAUUUAACGGUUUGUAUAUAUGUAUGGAAUGAGAAAUUGACGCAAAUGAGCUAACGACUCAGACUACUUAACGAUGUAUUUAUCGGGUUUACUAACGGACCGGUAUACAUUACAACCAUUUGUAUGUUACAUUCAUGGUCUUAAGCUAGUCUUAUUUUGAAGCCGUUUGGUUGUAAAUCAAUAAAUUUAUUUUCAAGUGGAAUAACUCAUGUCUUCACCGUGAACCUAAUUCGUAAACUUUUUGUAAUUACGUACCAUGGGUUAUGGUUAACCGUCCGGUUGUAUAUUCUUGUUUAAAACGAAUUAACAUAAAGUCUAUAUAUCUCUUCGUACAUGACUAAAAAUAAACGUGUUUUACUAAUCAGCAUCUAACAGUAUCUCUAAAACAUCAGUAAAGUAAGUUUACCGAAUUUUGAUUGUAUUUUUACACCGUUAGGUAACCGUGUUUAUCUGAAGUAUGUCAUGAGAGUUCAGAUGUUAUGUUAUGGUUAACCGUUCGGUUGUAAGUCUCUUCCUAGAUGACUUGAAUCCAACAUCUUUAAGUCUCUUCGUACAAGACCUAAAUCGUUCAUCUUUAAGUCUCUUCGUACUCACCUCCUCGGCUAAGAUGGCAAAGCACAUACAACAGAUAGAAAAGGAUAAUAAUCAACCCUACAGUGAAAAAGACAGAAGGUACGAGUCCCAGAAAACUAUAUCUUGAACAACUGAUAGAGUGAAGGUACGAUGUUUUCUAUCCGUAGAGGAUUUAAUACAAACGAUUAAGAAAGUAAAUCGGUUCAACCUACAGUCAGGAGGGUUAAUACACGAAUAUAUUAUUGUCUUGUAUAAUCUCUUAUCUCUAUAAAAGUCACUGUACGUAAGACAAAGUACGUUUCGUGUAUUUGAGAUAUAAUAUCCGGUAACGUAAAACAAAUGAGCCAUAUAAUUCUUUAUCCUCAUGUUAACAUCAGUACAAAAAAAUACAAUGAGAAACAUAAAUACUUAAAACUGGGUUUAGACGGUGCUCCACUUGAAACUGACUACAGGCAGUAAAACCAGUUAUAAAUAAAACAACAGAGUUAGCGUCGAAGAAGAUUAAUGCCAUGAGGAUUAUUAACUUAUACACCCCUCUCAGUCACAAGGUACUUUGGUCUAACGAAAGGAACGAUGUCUCAUACUCGGUGGAUCCAAACAAAGGGCAGUCGAUUGAAGGAUGCGUUUCGGCCGCCGAACUACAACUCCAUUUCAGAAUUUCUUUUAAGACUAGCUUCGAACAUGGACUAGUUUCAAACUACCGAACCACCGCUCCCGCAGUUGUACCGCUGCCGCCGUCGGGCGCGAGCGUAGGCAACCAGUCGUCUCCUCUCGUCGUCCGCCGGUGCCGCGGCGCGCGAGUGAAGGCACCCGGUCGUCUCCACUUCGGCUGCCACCGCGGCCUCUGAGAGCGAGGCAGCGAGCGUAGGUACCCCGUCGCAUCCUCUCCGUUCACCGCUGCCGCCAGACACGAGCGCAGUAACCCCGUCAUCUCCUCGCCUACCGCCGCUGACUCAGGGCACAAACGCAGACACCCCAUCGUCUUCUCCUCGCCUGUUCCCUGUUGCCGUCACAGCUAGGCGCGAGUGCGGGUAUCCGUCGUCUGUUGUCUCCUCCUCGCCGCCCGCCACCGCCGCUAGACGCGUGCGCAGACACCCCAUCGUCUCUCUGCUGCACAACACUCCCGUUUCUCUUUUAAUGCCCUAUCUUUGGGGGAUAGGUGCAAUUCACUCCCGCUUGGUCACACGGCCCGUCAGACGAACCGUCUUGUAAAUUAGACCCUGCAAGUACACGCACCGUCUGGGAACUACACUAUACCUGAUAAUCUACGAUAAAUCAACCUAACUAGAUUGCG